UGUUAUAAUACUUGUACUAAGCUUUUAACUAUGAUUGUUUCCCUUUGAUAAAUCAGGUUAUUUGCAAAUACUGUGUCGAGUGAGAAGGAUCCUCUGCUUAGAGUGAAUUUGGAGAAAAAUGUGGCUUUAAAGUAGGAUGUAGCCCACGGUGUAAUGCUUGCACAAAAUUCUAUGUCCAGCAGAGCAUGACAGACUGUCUAAUUGAUGAGGACUCAAUUGAGGAAUAUGAAAAGGUGGCAAAGGAAAAGAGGAAGGAGAAAUUGGAGCAACAGGAAGGAGUGGAGUUAAAUUUUCUCAGCAAACUUGGUCAUGUCCAAAAGAUUGAGAUUCCGAAUGGCAUUGCUAACAUGAAGAAUGAGCUCAGGUCCUUCAUG